rnacentral:rRNA from 1 species
CCUACGGGGGGCUGCAGUGGGGAAUAUUGGACAAUGGGGGCAACCCUGAUCCAGCCAUGCCGCGUGAGUGAUGAAGGCCUUAGGGUUGUAAAGCUCUUUCGCCCACGACGAUGAUGACGGUAGUGGGAGAAGAAGCCCCGGCUAACUCCGUGCCAGCAGCCGCGGUAAUACGGAGGGGGCGAGCGUUGUUCGGAAUUACUGGGCGUCAAGGGAGCGUAGGCGGCUUUGCAAGUCGGGCGUGAAAGCCCCGGGCUUAACCUGGGAACUGCGUUCGA